rnacentral:rRNA from 1 species
UGGCCUACGGGAGGCAGCAGUGGGGAAUAUUGGACAAUGGGGGGAACCCUGAUCCAGCGACGCCGCGUGAGUGAAGAAGUAUUUCGGUAUGUAAAGCUCUGUUAGCAGGGAAGAGGAAGGACGGUACCUGCAGAGGAAGCCACGGCUAACUACGUGCCAGCAGCCGCGGUAAUACGUAGGUGGCAAGCGUUGUUCGGAAUAACUGGGCGUAAAGGAUGCGUAGGCGGUUAAACAAGUUAUAUGUUAAAUAUAUAGGCUUAACCUGUAGAAAGCAUAUAAAACUGUUUAACUAGAGUGCAGGAGAG